GACGAACGCUGGCGGCGUGCUUAACACAUGCAGGUCGAACGGAAAGGCCCUGCUUUUGUGGGGUGCUCGAGUGGCGAACGGGUGAGUAACACGUGAGUAACCUGCCCUUGACUUUGGGAUAACUUCAGGAAACUGGGGCUAAUACCGGAUAGGAACUCCUGCUGCAUGGUGGGGGUUGGAAAGUUUCGGCGGUUGGGGAUGGACUCGCGGCUUAUCAGCUUGUUGGUGGGGUAGUGGCUUACCAGGGCUUUGACGGGUAGCCGGCCUGAGAGGGUGACCGGCCACAUGGGGACGGAGAGACGGCCAAGACUCCUACGGGAGGCAGCAGUGGGGAAUAGUGCACAAUGGGCGGAAGCCUGAUGCAGCAACGCCGCGUGCGGGAUGACGGCCUUCGGGUUGUACACCGCUUUCGCCUGUGACGAAGUGUGAGUGACGGGAAUGGGUAAAGAAGCACCGGCUAACUACG
rnacentral:rRNA from 1 species